rnacentral:rRNA from 1 species
AACGAACGCUGGCGGCAUGCCUAACACAUGCAAGUCGAACGAGACCUUCGGGUCUAGUGGCGCACGGGUGCGUAACGCGUGGGAAUCUGCCCUUGGGUCUGGAAUAACAGUUAGAAAUGACUGCUAAUACCGGAUGAUGACUUCGGUCCAAAGAUUUAUCGCCCAGGGAUGAGCCCGCGUCGGAUUAGCUAGUUGGUGAGGUAAAAGCUCACCAAGGCGACGAUCCGUAGCUGGUCUGAGAGGAUGAUCAGCCACACUGGGACUGAGACACGGCCCAGACUCCUACGGGAGGCAGCAGUGGGGAAUAUUGGACAAUGGGCGAAAGCCUGAUCCAGCAAUGCCGCGUGAGUGAUGAAGGCCUUAGGGUUGUAAAGCUCUUUUACCCGGGAUGAUAAUGACAGUACCGGGAGAAUAAGCCCCGGCUAACUCCGUGCCAGCAGCCGCGGUAAAAC